rnacentral:rRNA from 1 species
AUUGAACGCUGGCGGCAGGCCUAACACAUGCAAGUCGAACGAGUGGCGGACGGGUGAGGAAUGUCUGGGAAACUGCCUGAUGGAGGGGGAUAGCGACUGGAAACGGUAGCUAAUACCGCAUACCAUCAGAUGUGCCCAGAUGGGAUUAGCUUGUUGGUGGGGUAACGGCUCACGAAGGCUACGUACCCUAGCUGGUCUGAGAGGAUGACCAGCCACACUGGAACUGUUGCACGGUCCCAGCUCCUGCGGGGUGCAGCAGUGGGGAAUAUUGCACCAUGGGCGCAAGCCUGGUGCUGCCCGGCCGCGUGUAAUAAGAAGGCCUGUGGGUUGGUAAGUGCUUUCCGCGGGGAGGCGUUACCCGAAGGAGGAGCACCGGCUAAAUCCGGGCCAGCAGGCGCGGUAAUAC